rnacentral:rRNA from 1 species
AUUGAACGCUGGCGGCAGGCCUAACACAUGCAAGUCGAGCGGAUGAAGGGAGCUUGCUCCUGGAUUCAGCGGCGGACGGGUGAGUAAUGCCUAGGAAUCUGCCUGGUAGUGGGGGAUAACGUCCGGAAACGGGCGCUAAUACCGCAUACGUCCUGAGGGAGAAAGUGGGGGAUCUUCGGACCUCACGCUAUCAGAUGAGCCUAGGUCGGAUUAGCUAGUUGGUGGGGUAAAGGCCUACCAAGGCGACGAUCCGUAACUGGUCUGAGAGGAUGAUCAGUCACACUGGAACUGAGACACGGUACAGACUCCUACGGGAGGCAGCAGUGGGGAAUAUUGGACAAUGGGCGAAAGCCUGAUCCAGCCAUGCCGCGUGUGUGAAGAAGGUCUUCGGAUUGUAAAGCACUUUAAGUUGGGAGGAAGGGCAGUAAGUUAAUACCUUGCUGUUUUGACGUUACCAACAGAAUAAGCACCGGCUAACUUCGUG